AAUACAUGGAGUAGAGGUGGAACUUUGCUUUUCUGGGAGAAUCAGUAAAGAAGCUCAAGGUAGGGGACUUUUAGUAAAUAUAGGAGG